UAAAGCGAAUAGUGAAAUCUGGUGGCUCAACCACACAGGCUAUUAUUUGAACUCACGAACUCGAGAGUAGCAGAGGUAACUGGAAUUUCGUGUGUAGGAGUGAAAUCCGUAGAUAUACGAAGGAACACCAAUGGCGUAAGCAGGUUACUGGGCUAUUUCUGACACUAAGGCACGAAAGCGUGGGGAGCGAACCGGAUUAGAUACCCGGGUAGUCCACGCCGUAAACGAUGGAUACUA
rnacentral:rRNA from 1 species